rnacentral:rRNA from 1 species
GACGAACGCUGGCGGCGUGCUUAACACAUGCAAGUCGAGCGGUAAGGCCCUUUCGGGGGUACACGAGCGGCGAACGGGUGAGUAACACGUGGGUGACCUGCCCUCAGCUCUGGGAUAAGCCUGGGAAACUGGGUCUAAUACCGGAUAUGACUCCAUGACGCAUGUUGUGGGGUGGAAAGCCUUGUGCGGCUGAGGAUGGGCCCGCGGCCUAUCAGCUUGUUGGUGGGGUGANGGCCUACCAAGGCGACGACGGGUAGCCGGCCUGAGAGGGCGACCGGCCACACUGGGACUGAGACACGGCCCAGACUCCUACGGGAGGCAGCAGUGGGGAAUCUUGCGCAAUGGGCGAAAGCCUGACGCAGCGACGCCGCGUGA